rnacentral:lncRNA from 1 species
GGGCUUAACCCUCUAGCCGCUGGGCACGCGCGGGCUACCGGGGCGGAGGCGUACGGGGGCGGCGAGCGGGGCUCGGCUCCUCCUCGUCCCGCGCCAGCGCCGCGCCCGGCCGCAUUCUCGGGGCCCGAGGCUCAGCCGCUCGCGGUGGAGAAAGCAGGCCGCGGAGGAGGCGGGCGCCCAGGCCUGCCCGGACAGGAAGUGGGCCCAGCUUUCCCACUCCUCGCUCCGCUCCUUCCUCCGCGGGAAGGGCAGGCCCCGGAGGCAGCGAGCGCCCCGGGGGUGGCCGGGCAGCCGGAUGCUCCCGGGGUUGCGGGCUGUGGCCCCGGGGGCUGAGGGCGGCGCGGGUGCGGCGGAAGCAGGGAAGCCGCGAACCGGCCUUCUGGCUGGCCACAGCGCCCUGCACGGACGAUCAGUGAAUGGAGAUUACUCAAGUAUUUAUCGAGAACUUGCAGUGGGCUAGGCACAGUUCAGGUCCACAGUUAUUUCACUUCUAAAUAAAUAUGGUUUUUUAAAAGUGGCACGCGGUGGAAUGUAAUUGAGACAGGAUGGAGUUCCUAGAGAAAUUUUACUUCCUCAAUCUGCACUCCACCUUACUUAAAAUACAGUCUUGGGUCUGUAAUUCCCUUAUCUGACUCUCAAGGAAAUGACAAAGUAAUGCCUAGAUUGGACUAAACCUCAUUUAACUUCAAGGCUGACCUUUCUCAAAGUUGAACCUUCGUCUUGUGAGGAACAGAAAGAUCAAGAACUCUGAAGCACCUCGACUUUCCACCUGUGAAGAUGUGUUCAAAUUUGCAACGUGCGGCCACACCUAUGAGGUCACUCCCUCUGGAGGAAACCAGCUGCCACUUUGUGAGGAUACUCAUAGUCCUGUGGAGGCAUAUCCUCCAUAUGGCUGAGACCUCCUGCGAACAACCAUCACUGACUUGCCAGACAUGAGUGUGCCACCUUGGAAGCAGAUUUUCCAGCCCCAGUUAAGCCUUCAGAUGACAUCAGCCCCUGCUAAUCUCUUGACUACAACCUCAUGAGAGACCCUGAGCCAGAACUAGCCAGGCUUACCCCUCAUGGUUACAAAGUGGCUGCAACAGCUCCAGGUGUUCUAUCCUUUAACACAGAAUAACUCAAACAACAAGACCCAAUAUUCAGACAAGAAGGAAAGGGACUUUUGGAGAGUGAAGAAAACUUUCCUAGAAACCUCAAACUUCUCCCCAUGCCUUAUUGGCCAGAUUGUAUCCCAUGCCCAUUUCUAAACCAAUCAUUGGCAAAGUGAGUGGAAUUGACGUGAUUAGAUUAACUUUACCAAGAAUGCAUCCUCAGAGAGGCUGAGAAAAAGUCCAGCCUCCUUUGAAGAGCCUGGCUACCUUUCACCUGAACAAAACAAGAAUUCUGAUGAAAAAUGGAGAAUGUAUGUGGAGCAGGCACCCGGAGUGUCUAUGCCAGGAUUUUUUUUCAGUGCGUUUCACCGGUUAUAUUUUUGUCUCUUUACCUUACAAGAUAUGUGGCACGUUUGCCUAAAACAAGCCUUGCUUUCUGAUUUCUGUGCACUAGGCACUUAAACCUUGCAAAUGUCGCUUACCUAACAGUCACUGUCAAGGAGUACCUGGCUAAAGAAUCUCCAGCUAGACAAAGUAGAAGUGUCUGUGCUCUGGCAGUUGAAUAUAUUGUAUCAGGCUCAACAGCACCUUUCACCAAAGGAUGAGACUUCACAACCAUUAGAUCUUCUUUUAUUUUGUUUUUAUUAAAAAAAAAAAUUUUAACACACCAUUGCUAACUUGAAGCCAUUAGAUCUUCUUACCCCCAAUACCACAAAAGUUUAGUGGAAUCAGGGGUAUACCAAGGCAGGUGGAGUAGGGGAGCUGGGAGUGGUCAGCCCCCAGGGCAGGCAAUGAGGGAUUGUGAAUCUGUGAAGAAUUUUAAAGCAAUGAUACAGCUCUAAAUGCAAUGUACUAUCCUGGACUUAGCCCUGGAAAAGAAAAAAGAUAUUAGUGGAAAAACUGGUAAAAUUCAAAUAAUGUCUGUAGUUUGGUUAAUAGUAUUAUACCAAUGUUAAUUUCUGUGUUUUGAUAAAUGUACCAUGGUUAUGUAAGCUGGAUGAAAGAUAUGUGGGAAAUCUCUCUACUAUUUCUGCAACUCUCCUGUAAACCUAAAAAUGUUUCAAAAUAAAA